CUCUAUGCUGUCAUUAAAAAUACAAAACAGUUAUAAUUAUAAGACCAAUGGUAACAGUAUUGUUAAAGCCACCCAUAUUCGAACACCUCAAGAUUUGUCAUUUAUCUCCUUUAUAUGCAUACCUGCAUGAAAACCUGAGUGUGAGAAUUUCAAUUUCAGUUCAUCAGUAAUAUAGAUACAACAGGCACUCAUGGGUGAAAAUGUUAAACCACUUUGUGCUUUACUUAGGCAUCUUAAUCAACUUCUACAAAAUCUCACCUGUGUUACCAUUUGUGGCUAUGUGUUCAUUUUCUUACUAUUUUGAAUGAAUUGCAUGUGUGGCCUAUUAAAGUCUUCAGUUAAAUCAGACACUCCUUAAUUUGCCUAUUUUGACAAUUUUCAGUUACAGGGGUUUGAUUUCAUAAGCACAAAUCAAAAUGACAGAGCAAUGGGAUGUUCUAAUAUGUUUGCACAGCACUGUAUUCUGAGAUAAUACUGAUACAGCUUUCCUCAUAUAUACAGUAUAUGAAUAACAGAACCAUCAAGAAAACCAGGUCUAAACUGUGUUAAAUUACAUGGUCGACAAAAAAUACAGCCGAAACUAACAAAUAUUUAGAAGUCAUCUGUCUUUUCUGAGACAAAGAAUCACUGACAUCUGCCAACUGCAACAUAAUGCUCUUCGUCUUCAUGCCUGUCCUCUUUGAAAUUCUUCUCAUUGAAAUGUUUUACCUAGGUUGCUGGUAUGACACUCAGCUUCCCGGUGUCGUUUCCUCCUUGUAACUUAACUAAAACAUACAUUUUCAACGAAUUCAAGUAAAUAAAUUACACACUGCCCUGCUUAAUCUGAAUUGAACGCAUAUUAGAAUUGCGCUGAGUAACGAGACUAGAACGUCACUCUGCGCCAAGAAAGCAUCACUGUUGAAAACGUGUCUCAGUUUUCAAAGGUUGUACAAUAUAAACGAUACUUGGGCGAGCUGGAAAGUAGAAUUCCAAGAACAAAAUCGAGAUGGACGAAAGUGAGGCUGAUUGAUCACAAAGAAAGAAUACAAAAAAAGUUCUGCCGAAGAACAAGAACAAGCAAAUUAACAGCCGCACUCCCAGCACCAGCAGUUCCAGCGCCCUUGGUGCUCUGCGUUGUCUGUGUUUACCUGUUCUUUUACCUGGUCCGGAGACCUUGUGAUGGUGAAAGCAAUGGACUCGGAGAAACCAAAGGUACAGUUCACAAAUUACUCGAUUUAUUUACCCAGUCCCGGCUAAAUUACAGUAUUCCAAAAUAAGGACUAUCUUAGUUAUUUUACAGAAAAUGAAUUAAAUGUCUGUAUCACUCAAUGCAAAUAUAUUCACGAACUUGAAUUAAAAAAAAAAAAAUAAGAAAAAGAAAACCGAGUAUAAAGACUUAGAAUAGGCAUACUAAUUAAAUUAGUACACCGCGAGACCCCGUUCUUAUCUGCGUAUAACUGUGAGAGGCAGCAAACGAUAGGGCGUGUCCCUUCAAAACAUUAUAUUUUAUACAUUACUAAAUUUACACGGGUUGCACCAGUUAAGUUAGUUUUAACUUAAGGCUUAGUUGUUACUUAAAUGUUACGCAUACCUCCGGG